GCUGGGCAUAGUGGCUCACACCUGUAAUCCCAGCAACUUGGGAGGCUGAGGCAGGAGGAUCUCAAGUUCAAAACCAGCCUUGGUAACUUAGCAAGACCCUGUCUCUA
rnacentral:sRNA from 1 species